rnacentral:rRNA from 1 species
AACGAACGCUGGCGGCAUGCCUAACACAUGCAAGUCGAACGAAGGCUUCGGCCUUAGUGGCGCACGGGUGCGUAACGCGUGGGAAUCUGCCCUUGGGUUCGGAAUAACUCAGAGAAAUUUGAGCUAAUACCGGAUGAUGUCGCAAGACCAAAGAUUUAUCGCCCAAGGAUGAGCCCGCGUAGGAUUAGCUUGUUGGUGAGGUAAAAGCUCACCAAGGCGACGAUCCUUAGCUGGUCUGAGAGGAUGAUCAGCCACACUGGGACUGAGACACGGCCCAGACUCCUACGGGAGGCAGCAGUGGGGAAUAUUGGACAAUGGGCGAAAGCCUGAUCCAGCAAUGCCGCGUGAGUGAUGAAGGCCUUAGGGUUGUAAAGCUCUUUUACCCGGGAUGAUAAUGACAGUACCGGGAGAAUAAGCUCCGGCUAACUCCGUGCCAGCAGCCGCCGUAA